AGUGAACGCUGGCGGUAGGCCUAACACAUGCAAGUCGAACGGCAGCACAGUAAGAGCUUGCUCUUACGGGUGGCGAGUGGCGUACGGGUGAGGAAUACAUCGGAAUCUACUUUUUCGUGGGGGAUAACGUAGGGAAACUUACGCUAAUACCGCAUACGACCUACUUGUGAAAUCAGGGGAUCUUCGUACCUUGCGCGAUUGAAUGAGCCGAUGUCGGAUUAUCUAGUGGGCGGGGUAAAGGCCAACCAAGGCGACGAUCCGUAGCUGGUCUGAGAGGAUGAUCAGCAACACUGGACCUGAGACACGGUCAAGACUCCUCCGGGAGGCAGCAGUGGGGAAUAUUGGACAAUGGGCGCAAGCCUGAUCCAGCCCUACCGCGUGGGUGAAGAAGGCUUUCGGGUUGUAAAGCCUUUUUGUUGGGAAAGAAAAGCAGCAGGUUAAUACCCCGAUGUUCUGACGGUACCCAACGAAUAAGCACCGGCUAACUUCGUG
rnacentral:rRNA from 1 species